UACGAAGGGGGCUAGCGUUGUUCGGAAUUACUGGGCGUAAAGCGCACGUAGGCGGGUCUGUAAGUAGAGGGUGAAAUCCCAGGGCUCAACCCUGGAACUGCCUUCUAGACUGCAGGCCUCGAGGUCAGGAGAGGCGAGUGGAAUACCGAGUGUAGAGGUGAAAUGCGUAGAUAUCUGGAGGAACACCGGUGGCGAAGGCGGCGUUCUGGACUGCUACUGACACUGAGGAACGAAAGCCAGGGGAGCAAACGGG
rnacentral:rRNA from 1 species